CAAUAGCGUAUAUUAAAGUUGUUGCGGUUAAAAAGCUCGUAGUUGGAUUUCUGUUGGGAACGACCGGUCCGCCCAUUGGGUGUGUAUCUGGCUUGUUCUCGGCAUCUUCUUGGUGAACGUUGCUGCACUUGACUGUGUGGAGCGCUACCCAGGACUUUUACUUUGAGGAAAUUAGAGUGUUUCAAGCAGGCAUAUGCCUUGAAUACAUUAGCAUGGAAUAAUAAGAUAGGACCUCGGUUCUAUUUUGUUGGUUUCUAGAGCUGAGGUAAUGAUUAAUAGGGAUAGUUGGGGGCAUUCGUAUUUAACUGUCAGAGGUGAAAUUCUUGGUUUUGUUAAAGACGGACUACUGCGAAAGCAUUUGCCAAGGAUGUUUUCAUUGA
rnacentral:rRNA from 1 species